UACCUGAUGCAGUCUUGCACACAGGAGGCUCCAUAAACUUUGGUGAACAUAAGAAGAGGAUGGAAGAGGAAUUGAAACAUGAAGUUUCAUAUAGGGAUGUAUAUGAACGGGUUCAUAAGAAGACAGAUGGACAAUAUAUCUCCCAACGCUCAAGAACGUAUAUUGUAAGUUACUUCAACUUUGAAAAAGUUAAUUGUAAUAUGAAUGUAGGAGUCAUAUGACACUGCCAUGCUGGAAAAGUAUGGAGAGGACUUCUCCAGUCAUCCCAUAGUUGAUUCUAAAGUAUGGACAAAAUCGUUUGGUUACAAGAAGACGAGAAACACUUUUGUGGGUCGCAGCUUAGACCUUAAUAGUUCUGUGCCUGCUUCAUCUGCAGAGGCAAACAUAAUAGUUACAUCAGAAGAAUUUAUCAAAAAAGCUGUUGAUAGAGCAAUGACUUCCUUUGUCCAGUCACAGUUGGCUCCAAUGUUGGAGCCAAUCCUAUCGAUGAUUCGGUCUAUGCAUAAAGCACCAAUGCAACUUGAUGUGGCUGAAAAAGUUCACAGGAAUUAAGAUAGUGAAGAGGGAGAUGGAGACACAGGUAGCUAUGGCUGAUUUGAAGAUGGUGGAGCAAUGAAAGGGAGUUUGGAGAAAGUUGUGCAAACUUGUUUGGAGACACGGAGUUUUUUACUUGUUUGAAUGAUUAAAUACAAAAAAACAAAUUAAUUAGUAGUGGUACUGAGUAUUGUUCACAAUUGAAUGAUCAUUGGAUUCAAUUGAAUUGAUUUUUUGUUGGA